ensembl:snoRNA SNORD35B small nucleolar RNA, C/D box 35B
GGCAGAUGAUGUCUGUUUUCACCAUGGUCUUCAGAUGCCCACCGUGGGUACUGUUGAGAAAGCUGGUUGGCAAAGCUGAUGUCAGAAG